GAUCGGGAUAACAACCUGGAAACAGAUGCUAAUACCGGAUAACAACAGAUGAUGCCUAUCAACUGUUUAAAAGAUGGUUCUGCUAUCACUCUUGGAUGGACCCGCGGUGCAUUAGCUAGUUGGUAGGGUAACGGCCUACCAAGGCGAUGAUGCAUAGCCGAGUUGAGAGACUGAUCGGCCACAUUGGGACUGAGACACGGCCCAAACUCCUACGGGAGGCAGCAGUG
rnacentral:rRNA from 1 species